AUCAUAAUGAACUAGAUCAUUUACUAAUAAAAGUCUAGGGUAGACAUAUGUACUGAUCUAAUUUAAACCAAUUAUGAAUUAUUAAGUUUUCUAAUUGGCAUCAGAUAUUGUGGAAAUAUAAAUAAAACAAAUUUAUGAUUAAAAUACACAUUCCUAACACAAAAAACUAGUUAAUGUAUUAAAAAUGGAAAUCUAAAAGAUAUUUUAAUAGGCAGAUAAAUAUUCUGUAUCAGUUCAAGCAUAAUCUGUUUCUGUAUGUACUUAAAUUUUAUCAAAGCUGGUGAAAUUAUAUUUAAAAAGGUAUGUCUGAUCAUAAUACACAUUCCCAUCAUAAUGAACUAGGACAUUUACUAAUAAAAGUCUAAGGCAGACAUAAGUACUGAUCAAAUUUAAACAAAUUGUGUUUUUUUUUUUUUUUUUAAAUACUCUAAAUAAUUUGAAAUUUUACAUUAGACACAUGUAAGGAAAUAAUACACAUUCGUAUCACAAUAAACUAGAUAUUUAAAAUUUAAAAGUCAAUAUUUUAAAAUAUGAUUAUGAUAGCCAAACUAAUAUUCUAUAUAAAUUCAAACAAAAAAUGU